rnacentral:rRNA from 1 species
UACGUAGGGGGCAAGCGUUGUUCGGAAUUACUGGGCGUAAAGCGCGUGUAGGCGGCCCGAUAAGUCCGCUGUGAAAGUCCAGGGCUCAACCCCUGGGAUGCCGGUGGAUACUGUCGGGCUCGAGUCCGGAAGAGGCGAGUGGAAUCCUGGUGUAGCGGUGAAAUGCGCAGAUAUCAGGAGGAACACCAGUGGCGAAGGCGGCUCACUGGACCGGUACUGACGCUGAUGCACGAAAGCUAGGGGAGCAAACAGG